AAUACAUGCAAGUCGAACGAAGUAGCAAUACUUAGUGGCAGACGGGUGAGUAACAUGUGGGUAUCUUCCCUUUGGUGAGGAAUAACACGAGGAAACUUGUGCUAAUACCUCAUAAGUCUUUACGGAGAAAGCUUUAUGCGCCAUUGGAUGAGCCUGCACUUGAUUAGUUUGUUGGUGGGGUAAUGGCCUACCAAGACUUUGAUCAAUAGCUGAUUUGAGAGGAUGAUCAGCCACAUUGGGACUGAGACACGGCCCAAACUCCUACGGGAGGCAGCAGUAGGGAAUCUUGCACAAUGGAGGAAACUCUGAUGCAGCGAUGCCGCGUGAGUGAAGAAGGCCCUUGGGUUGUAAAGCUCUUUCGUCGGGGAAGAAAAUGACUGUACCCGAAUAAGAAGGUCCGGCUAACUUCGUGCCAGCAGCCGCGGUAAUACGAAGGGACCUAGCGUAGUUCGGAAUUACUGGGCUUAAAGAGUUCGUAGGUGGUUAAAAAAGUUGGUGGUGAAAUCCCAGAGCUUAACUCUGGAACUGCCAUCAAAACUUUUUAGCUAGAGUAUGAUAGAGGAAAGCAGAAUUUCUAGUGUAGAGGUGAAAUUCGUAGAUAUUAGAAAGAAUACCGAUUGCGAAGGCAGCUUUCUGGAUCAUUACUGACACUGAGGAACGAAAGCAUGGGUAGCGAAGAGGAUUAGAUACCCUCGUAGUCCAUGCCGUAAACGAUGUGUGUUAGACGUUGGAAAUUUAUUUUCAGUGUCGCAGCGAAAGCAAUAAACACACCGCCUGGGGAGUACGACC
rnacentral:rRNA from 1 species